AACACACACCUUUGUGUGUGUUCUGGUCCUACAAAACACAGGAGCCAAGAAGGGCUCUCAAGCUCAAACCCUAACAAGCAUAAAAUCAACAAAUUGAAGGGGUAAAUCCAACCUAAAUCGAAAUCCAAGCACGAAUUCAUGAUCACCUCGAUGAAGGGAUCAUAAGGUGAAGACGGACCUAAUCCGGAUGAAGAUCAAGCGGCGAGCAAGAACCGAACACACGUUAAAUGAAGCUUCCGCGUCAAAUCUUGAUUUGUGUUGAUAUAAGUGAAUUAUGUAAACACUUAUAAAUUGUUUUUGAAAUGUUGUAAUCAUUUGGGAAUGUUGGUAUAA